UACAGAGGGUGCAAGCGUUGUUCGGAAUUAUUGGGCGUAAAGGGAGUGUAGGCGGUCUAUUAAGUCUUCUGUGAAAUCUACGGGCUCAGCCUGUAACGUGCAGAGGAAACUGACAGACUUGAGUGUCGGAGAGGAUAGUGGAAUUCCCGGUGUAGAGGUGAAAUUCGUAGAGAUCGGGAGGAACACCAGUGGCGAAGGCGACUAUCUGGCUGACAACUGACGCUGAGACUCGAAAGCAUGGGGAGCAAACAGG
rnacentral:rRNA from 1 species